ACUAUUAAAACUGAAGUACAAAUAGUAAUUAAGGCUGAGUUUUCCUCAAUAAUUACAAUAGAAUGCCAUUAGAAUUAAAACACUGUCGUAUCACCUCCUUACUAAACGUGCUUAAACCUGCGACUUUGCCCAAAAUGAUAACGGCGGCUUUCUUCGAGCUCUCCCCAGCUAUAACACCAGCCUAUAUGAUCCAAAGCAGAUGGAGAUCCAAAGCAGCUGGAGAUCCUUAUUGUACUUUGUUUGUGGGUCGCAUCUCCUCUGAUCUGGAUCGAGGAGACUCUUCGUGAGGUUAUGAGUAAAUACGGAAAAAUUUAAGAGCUUGCGGUUGGUCAGACACAUUGUGAGGGUGCUUUACGAGGAUAUGCUUUUGUGGAGUAUGAGAUCGAGAAGGAGAUGCGACGUGCUUACGAGGUACUACAGUGACGGGUGCUCAUCAUUCAUUUAUUGAUAGUCGAGAGAUUGUUGUUGAUUAUAAUAUGCAGCAAUUGAUGCCUGGAUGGAUGAUUAGGUGAGUUCCAUUCUCUUACUAUCCCCUAAGAGCUAAAUCUUCAUCAUCCCUUAGAUUAAUCUUUUCUCUUCUUCUCUCGAAAAAGGAAGUGGACUUGGUGCAGACUAUAAUUGUUAUGAACCUUCAAAAUCAUGUUUAACUGUGCAUAUUAUGUCUGUUAUAAUAUUAGACGGCUGAUUCCUUAUAAAGAUUUGAAAAAGCUUGGGAUC